ACCCAUUCAUCUGCCUUGGCAUGUCAACUUAACACCGCUCCUUUCGCAUUUUAUCCAAUCUCAAUCCGCAGGCAGGCUGUCCCAUUCCCAUACACGUGUAUAUAGUAGCGCCCAGCCCAGCAGAGCACCAUGGACCUCGACAUUGCUUCUCUGCCACGCACGCUUCUCCCUCUGGAGGCCCCCUUCGAUUCAUUGAAAGCAACAAUAAUAAAGUAACCAACAGGUUGUCGGAAAACGCUCGAGCCAUCUCUCCCUCCCUCCAAUCUUCACUUGGAUUUGAGAGUAAUUUCCAGCGAUCUUCUCCAGAACGAAGCGUUUCUAGCGCCUAACUCUCCUCUGGUUAUGAAUUAGGGCUAGGGUUUUUGUUGAUCAAGUUCUGUAAUGCUCUUCUCUGUAACCGGAGGUUUCCAUCAAAAUGCUUCCGCCCACGUCCCUGCGAACCUCCGCUUAUCUCUCCGCCCUGACUCAGGAAAUAGAAAAGAAGCUCCAACGAGCGAUUGCGUCGCCGUCGCAGAGACGCGAUUUGUUGCAAGAGCUGUUCGCGGACAUAGCUCUGGAGGUUGAUGAUCGGGCUAGAGAUAUAAUACUAAGCAGAGAAGAUCAAAUUUCCCCCUCUGAGGAUGGAAUUGAGGGUUCGCUUUGCUUUUAUGAUGUUCUUGCUGAUUAUUUUGUAUGGAAGCCUGAGGAUGGAAAUCCAAUUCUUGAUUUGAUAGUCCAAUUAUGGAGCCAAUCAUUUGCAUCUCAUAUUUUCUCCCUUCUGUUCCACAAAUGGUUGUUUGAAGUUCAACUUGAUAAUUCUGAAGUCCUCCUGCGUUACUCAUCGGCUCUUGUUCAAGGUGCUACAAAUGUCUUCUGGAUUGACAUCCAAACGAACGCAAGACGUUUUCAAUCUCUCUUCAGGUAUCUUCUGGAGGAGGUUGCAUUGGUGCCUGAGAGAUUAAAGAAAAUUCCCUUGCAGGCCCAACAAGAUCUAUUUCUUCUCCUGUCAAGGUUCAUAUUUUUUUACAACUUAGCUGACAAGCUUGGAAGCUUCUUCAAACAAUUUCCAGAAUUUCCAACUCUUUUUAUUGGUGGUCCAACGGAUGUUUUUGUUAUUGAGCUUGCUGAUCAGCUGCAGAAAUUGAAGGUGGAGCCAGUACUGUUGCAUUACCUUUCUCAGAUUAAAGCUCUCCAAGGGAUGGAGCUGAGAAUGACAACUAGUACAAGACUGAAAGCAUGCUUGUAUAGCUUCACUUCUCCUGGUGGUCCAAUGUAUCCAACAAGAGCUGUUCGUCAUGCAGCCUGGGAUGCUUUAGAUUUCCUUUUCCCGGUAGGGCAAUACCCUCGGCAUCUUAUAAGCUUGUUUUUCCGGUUGCUAUACCCGUGGUAUUGGCCAUCCUCUUGUUGGAACUUCAUAAUGUCGUGCGUAAAGGCGAUACUGUACUAUAUUUUCAGUUUGAUAUGUUCUGCUUGGGAAAAGUUGGUAAAGGCGAAGAAGUCCUGAUUGUGCAUUCAAGAAUUUGGCAGUGCUCCUAAUGUAAAUUUUGAACUGAAUAUAACUGGACCUUUGGUGGAUUCUAGGCAAGGCUUUCUUACUGUUGUAAUACACAUGAGAGGCAUGGUAAUCGAUUUUGUCUACACCGCUCUUUCUACUUUCAUUUUUGUUGGGAUAUCCUUGGUUGGGGUCUUCCUAGGAAAUGACGAAGGGGAAGCCGUGUUUGAUCAAUAUAUGUACAACUGGACAUAUGGGGGAUGAAAAGUUGAAAAAAUAUAAUACUAUAUUUCUUUUUCUUUUCUUUUUUUUUUUUGUUUGGGAGAAUAAUUAUGAAAAUAGAUAAAAUAAAAAAUAUUAAAUAACAAAAGACGGUUCAUAAUAGA